rnacentral:pre_miRNA from 2 species
UCUUAUGGAUGAGCAAAGAAAGUGGUUUCUUGAGACGGAGUCUGCUCAUGGUGAAGAUGCUGUGAA